rnacentral:rRNA from 1 species
AGGCUGCAACUCGCCUACACGAAGCUGGAAUCGCUAGUAAUCGCGGAUCAGCACGCCGCGGUGAAUACGUUCCCGGGCCUUGUACACACCGCCCGUCACACCAUGAGAGUCUGUAACACCCAAAGCCGGUGGGAUAACCUUUAUAGGAGUCAGCCGUCUAAGGUAGGACAGAUGAUUAGGGUGAAGUCGUAACAAGGUAAC